rnacentral:rRNA from 1 species
AUUAUUAAGCGGAGGAAAAGAAAGCAAAUGCGAUUUCCCAAGUAACGGCGAGUGAACAGGAAUAAGCCUAGCGUUAAGGCUCAACAGGAUGGUCAGCAGCAAUGUUGGUCGUCUUCACGUAAAAGCUGUUGAGCGGUGCAACGUUACAAACUGCGAUGUUUAGUGAUGCCAUUGGCAGUAGUUGGGCAACUGACUGCUGCUCCUAGCCUAGCAUGCAAGUUCCAUUGAUUUGGACUAAUUGCAAAUGACUACGAGUUUGGGGCAACUUGAGCUUGUGGUUGAGCCAGAGUGGGUGAAAGCCCUAUACCGUGCAGGCAUUGGUAUCACGAAUCGUAGACGAGGUCUCCUAAGUGGGGCCCCGAAUUUGUUAGAGUCGAGUUGCUUGAGAGUGCAACUUAAAGUGCGAGGUAAACUACUCGUAAGGCUAUGCAAUACGGCUACGACACCGAUAGCAAACAAGUACCGUGAGGGAAAGUUGAAAUAGAACUUUGCAGAGAGAGUUAACAGGGCGUGAAACCGUUAAUUGGCAAACGAAUCGGAGCCACGAAGUCGUUUCGCUGUUGAAUCGGAUCGAGUUCAGUUCGCAAGCUAACACUUGCGGGCGUAUUCUCGUGUCUGGUCAAACUUUGUAAGCGUACACUGCAACCAGUUGAACGACCGGCCAUGGGCCCAGUUUGCAAGCCGAGCAAUCGACUUGUAAGCGCAGCAUUUGUUUGCUUARACUAGUAGUAGUGUGUUGCAUUUCGGUGUACCAUGCUGCUGGGUUUGAGCAAGUGAACUAUGGCCGGAUAUCGACUGGCAAAAUGAAAAUCGCCUCUGGUAGGCGUAACACAAAAUGCAGCUAGUUGCAUAGGGGACUACACAUUGGACCACUGUGUCUAAGCUCAGCGUUUUUGAAUUUGGACUUGCUUGCUACCAGUGGGGCAACUCCUGGUGCUUGUAUAGAUUCAUCUAAUCGGGCGUUGACUUGGCAUUUUGCGUUCCCAUGUGAAGCGAUUGGUUCCAAAUGUAAGCUAGUUUGCCAUUGAUUGGCAGUGAGUAGGUCGGCUUUCCGAACGACCCGUCUUGAAACACGGACCAAGGAGUCUAAUUAAGCAUCGAGUCGAUCGGUCUUGAAUAGGCCAGACAGGUGUGGGCAACCAUGCCGGACGAAGGCGUAGAGAAAUCAAAUCGUGUGAUCAUUGGGUCCAUAACAGACCCUUUGCGCAACAUGUGCCUGUUCGUAUAGCAAUGUUAGUAAUAACUUGCUGAGCGGAGCAAAGAGAUGCUUGAUUGGUACCCGAAAGAUGGUGAACUAUGCUUGGGCAAAUUGAAGCCAGAGGAAACUCUGGUGGAGGAUUGUAGCGAUUCUGACGUGCAAAUCGAUCGUCAGACCUGAGUAUAGGGGCGAAAGACUAAUCGAACCAUCUAGUAGCUGGUUCCCUCCGAAGUUUCCCUCAGGAUAGCUAGCGCUCGUUGUAAAUUAGUUUCAUCUGGUAAAGCUAAUGAUUAGAGGAAUUGGGAGCGAAACGCCCUCAACCUAUUCUCAAACUUUAAAUGGGUGAGAUGUGCGACAUACUUAAUUGAUGCCGCAUUUAUUACGAAUAAAUUGAGCGCUAAGUGGGCCAUUUUUGGUAAGCAGAACUGGCGAUGCGGGAUGAACCGAAAGCGAAGUUAAAGUUGCCGAUAAUAGUGACGAAAAMUUAGUCACUCGCUACACUCAUGAGAUCCCAUAAAAGGUGUGACCCGCUGAAGACAGCAAGGAUGUGGCCAUGGAAGUUGGAAUCAUCUAAGGAGUGUGUAACAACUCACUUGCCGAAGCGCGUCGCCCUGAAAAUGGAAGCAGCUCGAGUGUUGAACUUAUACUUCGCCGUUGAAACAUAGUUUACUUAGAAACAAUAAGUAGGUUUCAACGUGUAGGAGGGUUGUGUUGGUAGCGUUGAAGGGUAUGAGGGAGUGAUCCUGCCUGGAGCUGCCAAUAGURCAGAUCUUGGUGGUAGUAGCAAAUACUCAAGUGAGACCCUUGAGGGCCAAUGUGGAGAAGGGUUCCAUGCUAACAGCAAUUGAACAUGGGUCAGUCGGUCCUAAGAGAAUGGCGAAAGCUAUUUCUGAAUCAAAGGCGGUGUUUGAACGCUAAAAUUAUAAGCUGAUGGUAGGCAAUACAAAGAUUAYYAAAGGGGUUUAAAGCCGAGUCUAACACCAAUAAGUGCGCWAGUCUGACUARCAAACUUAGUUAAACUCAACAAGUGUUUUCUACCCUAAUCGAGCCUCCAUUGGUCAGCGAUUAUAAAACCACCGCAUGACUCGAAAGGGAAUAAGGUUAAUAUUCCUUAACCAAGAUGGGGAGAUUAUUGCUGGAUGGUGCUCUAGGGUAUUGUCCAGUGAUAUCGGCGGUAACGCAAACAAGCGCGUCGACGCCGUCGGCAGAAUGGGGAAGAGUUGUCUUUUCUUUCUAAGUUUACUUAGUUUUCGACGAGACCCUGGAAUCGAUUCACUCGAAGAUAGGUGUCGUAGUAAACGU